rnacentral:rRNA from 1 species
GGACGCGACGGGUGAGUAACACGUGGGUAACCUACCUAUAAGACUGGGUUUACUUCGGGAAACCGGAGCUAAUACCGGAUAAUAUUUCGAACCGCAUGGUUCGAUAGUGAAAGAUGGCUCUGCUAUCACUUAUAGAUGGACCUGCGCCGUAUUAGCUAGUUGGUAAGGUAACGGCUUACCAAGGCAACGAUACGUAGCCGACCUGAGAGGGUGAUCGGCCACACUGGAACUGAGACACGGUCCAGACUCCUACGGGAGGCAGCAGUAGGGAAUCUUCCGCAAUGGGCGAAAGCCUGACGGAGCAACGCCGCGUGAGUGAUGAAGGUCUUCGGAUCGUAAAACUCUGUUAUUAGGGAAGAACAAACGUGUAAGUAACUGUGCACGUCUUGACGGUACCUAAUCAGAAAGCCACGGCUAACUACGUGCCAGCAGCCGCGGUAAUACGUAGGUGGCAAGCGUUAUCCGGAAUUAUUGGGCGUAAAGCGCGCGUAGGCGGUUUUUUAAGUCUGAUGUGAAAGCCCACGGCUCAACCGUGGAGGGUCAUUGGAAACUGGAAAACUUGAGUGCAGAAGAGGAAAGUGGAAUUCCAUGUGUAGCGGUGAAAUGCGCAGAGAUAUGGAGGAACACCAGUGGCGAAGGCGACUUUCUGGUCUGUAACUGACGCUGAUGUGCGAAAGCGUGGGGAUCAAACAGGAUUAGAUACCCUGGUAGUCCACGCCGUAAACGAUGAGUGCUAAGUGUUAGGGGGUUUCCGCCCCUUAGUGCUGCAGCUAACGCAUUAAGCACUCCGCCUGGGGGAGUACGACCGCAAGGGUUGAAACUCAAGGGAAUUGACGGGGACCCGCACAAGCGGUGGAGCAUGUGAUUAUUUCGAAAGCAACGCGAAGAAUCCUUAACCAAAAUC